GCGGCGAGCGAAGAGGGAAGAGCCCAUCGCCGAAUCCCCGGGCCCCAGCCGCGGGCUCGAGGGAACUGUGGCGUAAGGAAGUCUGGCCCCGCGGCCGCGCAGGCGCCGAGGUCCCACUGAUCGAGGCGUGCUCCGUUCCACUGCGGGUGUCAGGCCCCUGCGGGGCGCCUGCCGGCCGCGGACUGAGGGCUUCCGGGAGUCGGGUUGUUUUGUAGUGCAGCCCAAAGACGGGUGGUAAACUCCAUCCAAGGCUAAAUACCCGCAUGAGACCGAUAGAGG
rnacentral:rRNA from 1 species